rnacentral:rRNA from 1 species
AGAUAUAGCCAUACCACCUUUAAUGCAAAUAAAUCAAAACUGAUCUCAGAUGCUCAAGAGGGUUGGGCUCUGUUAGUAUUUGGAAGGGAAACCUCAUAGUAAUACCAAGUGCCUUAUUUU